rnacentral:rRNA from 1 species
GACGAACCGUGCGAACGUUAUUCGGAAUCACUGGGCGUUAAAGCGCGUGUAGGCGGGCGAGCACGUCCGGCGCUGAAAUCCCCCGGCUUAACCGGGGAACGGGCGCGGAUACGACUCGCCUGGAGGGGCGUAGGGGGACCUGGAACUUCCGGAUGGAGCGGUGAAAUGCGUUGAGAUCGGAAGGAACGCCCGUGGCGAAAGCGGUUCU